AAUGAACGUUGGCGGCGUGGAUUAGGCAUGCAAGUCGAGGGAGAACCCGCAAGGGGGAAACCGGCGAACGGGGUAGGAAUACGUAGGUAACGUACCCUCAGGACGGGGAUAGCCACGGGAAACUGUGGGUAAUACCCGAUGAUCUGGUCUGGCUCAAGUGCCGGAUCAGCAAAGGUGAGAUUCCACCUGAGGAGCGGGUUACGCGAUAGUAGCUAGUGGGGGGGGUAACGGCCCACCAAGGCGACGAUAUCUAGGGGGUGUGAGAGCAUGGCCCCCACCACUGGGACUGAGAUACUGCCCAGACACCUACGGGUGGCUGCAGUCGAGAAUCUUCGGCAAUGGGCGAAAGCCUGACCGAGCGACGCCGCGUGCGGGAUGAAGGUCUUCGGAUUGUAAACCGCUGUCGGGAGGGAUGAAGUGCACGGGGGCAAUCCCCUGUGUUUGACAGAGCUCCGGAGGAAGCACGGGCUAAGUUCGUGCCAGCAGCCGCCGUAAUAC
rnacentral:rRNA from 1 species